CUAAUAUAUAGUCUUGGUGGUAAUGCAUCCGGUACCAGAUAUCUAAUAGCAAUUGAACCUGACACUGGCAAUCUAAGAACCAUUCUAAAAUGAAGAACGUUAUCCUUAUCCUCCUAGUUGUUCUGAUAGCUUUUCAAAUGGCAGAUGCGCUAAGAGAAAAUAUGUGGUGCCGCCACAGUUAUCGAUGCGACGGCCAAAUGAGGUGUUGUCUACGCAAUGGUUGGCAAUGCACACGUGUGUCGCAACCAUGUCACCGGGAGAGGCACUAGAUAGCAGCUCCAUUACCUUGGCGAUUAGAAACAACAUUGUAAAACGGGAGAAGCUAAAUACAGAUCAUUUUCUACUGUAAUAUUAAUUUUGGUUUAUAUUUCAUUACAUUAUAAUGGAUAGUGCCAUAUUUUGAAUAUCCAUGUACCAAAUGUUUGCUCUAUAUCGAAAGUGAAACAUAAUAAAAGCUAAUGUAUCGCCAGUAA